rnacentral:rRNA from 1 species
CAGCAGCCGCGGGAAUACGAAGGGUGCAAGCGUUAAUCGGAAUUACUGGGCGUAAAGCGUGCGUAGGCGGUGAGUUAAGUCUGCUGUGAAAUCCCCGGGCUCAACCUGGGAAUGGCAAUGGAUACUGGCAAGCUAGAGUGUGUCAGAGGAUGGUGGAAUUCCCGGUGUAGCGGUGAAAUGCGUAGAGAUCGGGAGGAACAUCAGUGGCGAAGGCGGCCAUCUGGGACAACACUGACGCUGAGGCACGAAAGCGUGGGGAGCAAACAGGAUUAGAUACCCCAGUAGUCCCUGUCUCUUAUAC